AAACUGUAGAGUUUGAUUCUGGCUCAGAAUGAACGCUGGCGGCGUGCUUAACACAUGCAAGUCGAACGAGAAAGGUGGUGCUUGCACCGCCGAGUAGAGUGGCGCACGGGUGAGUAACGAGUAGAUAAUCUACCUUUGAAUUAGGGAUAACUAUGCGAAAGUGUAGCUAAUACCUGAUGAAGUCUAUGUAUUUUAGGAUGUGUAGAUGAAAGAGUGCUUUUUUUAAAGGCAUUUGUUUGAAGAUGAGUCUGCGUACCAUUAGUUAGUUGGUGGGGUAAAGGCUUACCAAGACGAUGAUGGUUAGCUGGUCUGAGAGGAUGAUCAGCCACACUGGAACUGGGACACGGUCCAGACUCCUACGGGAG
rnacentral:rRNA from 1 species